rnacentral:rRNA from 1 species
AUGGUCGCCAUCGCCACCUCCUUCUCCGCCGCCGCCGCCGUCGCCGUCGCCCGCCGGAGCUCCCCGGCUCACCUCCAGCUCGUCGCUCGCCGCCGCCUCCCGUUCUGCACCGCUGCCUCCUCUUCCUCCGCGCCCCCUGCUGCUGCGGCGGGCUUUGGGUGGGCCGACGCCCUCCGAGUUGCCAGCGAAUUCGGGGUCGGCGAUGAGUCCGACCUUUCGGGGUACUUCCGGAAGGUCGACAUCUGCAACCGAGGAAUGGGUAACAAGGGGGAGUUUGUGGAGUUCAUGGUGGAGGAUCAAGUGGUGGGAUACAUCCACAAGGGUUUUACCGAACACCUGAGGGACUUCCCUGAUGUUUUUACCAUUGUCUCGGGCAACAAUGGUAAGAACAGUGUGGAGCAUGUGACUCUCCACUCAUCGCUCAGGACUCCAAAAGAUCGAACAAUCGCCAUCGGAGAUGUCAUAAAAGGCCUAGGGGAACUCAUUCCUGGUAUACGAAAUGAGCUCUAUCCAGUAACCUCAUCUUACGGCAUGCCUGUGUACUUCUCUCUGGAACGUGCUGCUGCUCCCUACUUUGGUAUAAAGGUUUAUGGUGUUCAUAUGAAUGGGUACAUCGAGAAGCAUGGUGAAAAAUCUCUUUGGAUUGGUAAGAGAAGUGAUGUGAAGCAAACUUACCCUGGGAUGCUAGAUCAUCUUGUUGCUGGUGGCCUGCCUUACGGAAUCUCCUGUAAAGAGAAUGUCAUCAAGGAAUGUGAAGAGGAAGCAGGAAUACCAAGAUCCAUGUCAACCAACGCUACUUCUGUUGGAGCCGUUUCUUACAUGGAUAUCAAUGGGUUUAGAUACAAAAGGGAUGUUCUGUUCUGCUAUGACCUUAGACUUCCUUUAGAUUUCGUUCCUAAUAAUGAAGAUGGAGAAGUUGAUAGCUUCAGGCUAAUCCCUGUACCACAUGCUGCAAACAUUAUACGGAGGACAGAUUUUUUCAAGUCAAACUGCAACCUUGUGAUCAUUGACUUCCUCUUCCGUCAUGGGUACAUAAACCCAGACUGUAAUGGAUACCUGAAGCUGCUGACAAGCUUGAGGAGUGGUGAUUGUUCCUAG